UCCGGUUUGUCACCGGCAGUCAUCCUAGAGUGCCCAGCCUUACCUGCUGGCAACUAAGAUCAAGGGUUGCGCUCGUUGCGGGACUUAACCCAACAUCUCACGACACGAGCUGACGACAACCAUGCACCACCUGUCUCCCCUGUCCCGAAGGCCCAUGCUGUCUCCAACAUGUUCAGGGGGAUGUCAAGACCUGGUAAGGUUCUUCGCGUUGCUUCGAAUUAAACCACAUACUCCACUGCUUGUGCGGGUCCCCGUCAAUUCCUUUGAGUUUCAGCCUUGCGGCCGUACUCCCCAGGCGGAGUGCUUACUGUGUUAACUUCGGCACCAAGGGCAUGGAAGCCCCUAACACCUAGCACUCAUCGUUUACGGCGUGGACUAC
rnacentral:misc_RNA from 1 species